CAAAGUAUAGUUAAAUCAGUCUAACAUUUCAGUUACGUUGAAAAAUUAUCGUGCAAUUCGGGUUACUUUGA
rnacentral:tRNA from 1 species